rnacentral:rRNA from 1 species
UACCAGCACCCCGAGUGGUCGGGACGAUUAUUGGGCCUAAAGCAUCCGUAGCCGGUUUUACAAGUCCCCCGUUAAAUCCAGCUGCUUAACAGAUGGGCUGCGGAGGAUACUAUAAGACUAGGAGGCAGGAGAGGCAAGCGGUACUCAGUGGGUAGGGGUAAAAUCCGUUGAUCCAUUGAAGACCACCAGUGGCGAAGGCGGCUUGCCAGAACGCGCUCGACGGUGAGGGAUGAAAGCUGGGGAGCAACCAGGG